rnacentral:rRNA from 1 species
GACGAACGCUGGCGGCGUGCUUAACACAUGCAAGUCGAACGGAAAGGCCCUGCUUUUGUGGGGUGCUCGAGUGGCGAACGGGUGAGUAACACGUGAGUAACCUGCCCUUGACUUUGGGAUAACUUCAGGAAACUGGGGCUAAUACCGGAUAGGAGCUCCUGCUGCAUGGUGGGGGUUGGAAAGUUUCGGCGGUUGGGGAUGGACUCGCGGCUUAUCAGCUUGUUGGUGGGGUAGUGGCUUACCAAGGCUUUGACGGGUAGCCGGCCUGAGAGGGUGACCGGCCACAUUGGGACUGAGAUACGGCCCAGACUCCUACGGAAGGCAGCAGUGGGGAAUAUUGCACAAUGGGCGGAAGCCUGAUGCAGCAACGCAGCGUGCGGGAUGACGGCCUUCGGGUUGUAAACCGCUUUCGCCUGUGACGAAGCGUGAGUGACGGUAAUGGGUAAAGAAGCACCGGCUAACUACGUG